GAGUAAAACAUUUAUUUUCAACAUCGCAAUCAAUCUCCCUCUCGGGGAUGAGCCUUGCUGCAUGAAAGACAGCGGUGAGAUGAGUGGCUUGCCGAACGGGAAAUCUUAUUUGCUCGGAUUCCGUCUAGUCUUGUACAAACAGGCUCUAUGUGUGGAGGCAAAGGCCCAUGGAGGUCAGAAGAGGGCAUAAGAUUCCCUGGAACUUGAGUUAAGGAUGGUCGUGACUCACCAUGUGGACAUUGGGAACUGUAAGAGCAGCAGGAGCUCUAAUUGUUCUCACCGUGGCUCCGUGCGACUAAGCGACUCGUCCACAGAUGCGCUGAUGCGAGCUGCCAGAGGCAGACCUGACAGGGACUGUCUCACCUCAGAGCCUGGGCGCUCAGGGCUCCCCCAGUCACUGUCUGCCUUGCCUCUCUGAGCCUUCAUUUCUUUUGGUGGGGAGCUUCGCUCGCUCAGAUCGACACCCGACUUUCAGCGGAAUCGAUGAGCCGUGAGAACUGGACUGUUUGCGUGAGCUAGAGAGAGGGCUCAGUGGUUGGGAGCACUGGCUGCUCUUGUAGAGACCUGAGUUGGAUUCCCAGCGCUUGUGACUUAACUCCAGCACCAGAGGAUCUGACGUCUUGCCUCCAUAGGCUCCUGAACUCAUGUGUACAUGUCCAACAUAAUACAUAACUCAAACUAAAGAUGAACCUUGAAGAGGAAGAGGAGAAAGAGACAGAAGGACAGAGAGAGCUCUCCUUCCGAAGAGCGUGGCGCACUUCAAGCUCUCAGCCACAGGCCAUUCUCCUGGGCUCCUGUCCUCUUCACCCAUCGUGUGCUAACUGCUCAGCUUGGGUGUUAGGUCUGAUGACCAAUCUUGCUCAGCACCACCCAGUGGGCUCUCCCCUCAAGAGCUUACUCGUUACGAGUAGCGCACUGCAUCAUGGGGCAAGCAUGGGACAUUGGCUCAGAGUCCAGAAAGUCACCUCCAUCUGCAGAUGGAAUUAUACGGCAGUUAUGGGACUUCUGUAUCAGGGCACUUGGGGGAUUUGAAGACACACUAAGUGAUAGUGAUAAUAUUUAGAUAAUUUCUAAUAACCUGAAGAGUGUGGACACACACACACAAUCACACGAUCACACAAAUACACACAUAUUGGGUAGCUGCAAACCAGAACCCUCAAAGGGAUUUAAUUUUUUCCAGUCUAUGAAAUCUGAAUAAUACAUGUCUCCACAUCCUCGCCAGCAUCUG
rnacentral:sRNA from 1 species